ACCUGGCUAGCUCAGUUGGUAGAGCAUGAAACUCUUAAUCUCAGGGAUGUGGGUUCAUGCCCCACAUUGGGUG